GAUGAACGCUGGCGGCGUGCCUAAUACAUGCAAGUCGAGCGAACAGACGAGGAGCUUGCUCCUCUGACGUUAGCGGCGGACGGGUGAGUAACACGUGGAUAACCUACCUAUAAGACUGGGAUAACUUCGGGAAACCGGAGCUAAUACCGGAUAAUAUAUUGAACCGCAUGGUUCAAUAGUGAAAGACGGUUUUGCUGUCACUUAUAGAUGGAUCCGCGCCGCAUUAGCUAGUUGGUAAGGUAACGGCUUACCAAGGCAACGAUGCGUAGCCGACCUGAAAGGGUGAUCGGCCACACUGGACCUGAGCCACGGUCCAGACUCCUACGGGAGGCAGCAGUAGGGAAUCUUCCGCAAUGGGCGAAAGCCUGACGGAGCAACGCCGCGUGAGUGAUGAAGGUCUUCGGAUCGUAAAACUCUGUUAUUAGGGAAGAACAAAUGUGUAAGUAACUAUGCACGUCUUGACGGUACCUAAUCAGAAAGCCACGGCUAACUACGUG
rnacentral:rRNA from 1 species